UACAGAGGUCUCAAGCGUUGUUCGGAUUCAUUGGGCGUAAAGGGUGCGUAGGCGGCGCGGUAAGUCGGGUGUGAAAUCUCGGAGCUUAACUUCGAAACUGCAUUCGAUACUGCCGUGCUUGAGGACUGGAGAGGAGACUGGAAUUUACGGUGUAGCGGUGAAAUGCGCAGAUAUCGUAAGGAAGACCAGUGGCGAAGGCGGGUCUCUGGACAGUUCCUGACGCUGAGGCACGAAGGUCAGGGGAGCAAACGGG
rnacentral:rRNA from 1 species